UACGAAGGGGGCUAGCGUUGCUCGGAAUCACUGGGCGUAAAGGGUGCGUAGGCGGGUCUUUAAGUCAGGGGUGAAAUCCUGGAGCUCAACUCCAGAACUGCCUUUGAUACUGAGGAUCUUGAGUUCGGAGAGGUGAGUGGAACUGCGAGUGUAGAGGUGAAAUUCGUAGAUAUUAGGAAGAACACCAGUGGCGAAGGCGGCUCACUGGCCCGGUACUGACGCUCAUGUGCGAAAGCGUGGGGAGCAAACA
rnacentral:rRNA from 1 species